rnacentral:tRNA from 1 species
GCCCAGGUGGUGGAAUUGGUAGACACGUCGGACUUAAAAUCCGAUGAUCAUUGCGAUCGUGUGGGUUCAAGUCCCACCCUGGGUA